AAACAAUUAAAGACGAGAGUAAUUUGUGAUUAAAGUCGUAUAAAUACCGAGCGCAAAAUUGGUGCUACAUCAAUCAACUAUCAUCACUCUGAAGAAAUAUACUUUGUAAUUUGAUUUAGCCGACAGAAAAAAAAUAAUGAAGCUAAAAUUUGCAAUUAUCACCGGGAUAUUUUUAAUUUCAAUUGGAUUAGCCGUAGGUCAAUACGAAUAUAAAAAUUGCAGUACAGUACACGUACAAUGUAAGGAGGAUAAGGAGUGCUGCUCACAUAGAUGCGUUGAGUGGGAACCCAACGCUCGAUCGUGUGGAAAUCUAGAUACGAGAAACGAUGUAUUUGAGAGGAAAUAAAAAUCAAUCAUAUUUAUUAAUUAAUGAUUACUAGCAAACUUGCAGUCACUAAUUGACUGACAUGAUUUGUCAACUAUAAAUAAAUAAAAUUUUGUUUUAUUAAAUAAUGACUUUUGUUAAA